rnacentral:rRNA from 1 species
UACGUAGGUGGCAAGCGUUAUCCGGAAUUAUUGGGCGUAAAGAGCGCGCAGGUGGUUGAUUAAGUCUGAUGUGAAAGCCCACGGCUUAACCGUGGAGGGUCAUUGGAAACUGGUCGACUUGAGUGCAGAAGAGGGAAGUGGAAUUCCAUGUAUAGCGGUGAAAUGCGUAGAGAUAUGGAGGAACACCAGUGGCGAAGGCGGCUUCCUGGUCUGUAACUGACACUGAGGCGCGAAAGCGUGGGGAGCAAACAGGAUUAGAUA